UCAACUUUUUAAAUAAAUCCAGUGAGAUUUAUAAGGGUGUAAGCUUGAUUCCAUGAUUUUAAUCUCAUGGAUUAAGUCGUGAAUUCUUACACUCUGAACCAACCAAUGGUCAGGGUGUUUUUUUA
rfam:Bacillus sp. OV166 genome assembly, contig: Ga0115450_11